UUAGUUAUCUGAUCAAGUGCGUUGAAAUUAAUAUAAUUUCAUCGGUUUAUAAUACAAAAUUUGUGUAGCGCACCCCGAACUAUCGGCAUUGUUAUGUCCGGGGGAGCAACAAAAAUCGCAUAAAAAUCGCAAAUUGAAAGCAGUCGCAACAAAAGUGCCGCCUCGCAAGUCUUUUUCAUCUCCAGUCCUCAUCUUCAUCCACAUCCACGUCCACAUCCAUCUGCAUCUCCACUUCCAUCAGCAGUUCCAUCCAGCGAGAUCCAUUGCCAAUGGCCGAUAGCCGAUGGCCAGGGUUAGUGUCAGGCGCUGACAGACGGAUGGACAGACCUUCGGCGAACUGGACUCUUGACCAAGUUGUUGGAGACGGAGAUGGAGCUUUCGGUGGGUGGACACCACUUUAAUUAGCCUGCGUUCGAAAUGGCAUUGAAAGUGCCGACCAGAGCACUGAGAUGGAUAGGAUAGAUGGUCAGAAUCGCAGGCCAGAUGCACUGUGAAAAAAUUACCGUAUUUAUAAAGGCGGUCUAAAGUAAUAGGGCGAAUGCAAAAUGAGGAGAGCCAUUUAUUUGUUUAAAAAUUUAAGGAACAAGUCAGUUUUCCUGAUUUAAAAUUAAAAGGAUAAGUAUUUUCCUGAGAGAUAAAAAAUCAAAAUGUCAUGUAAGCAAUAAGAUUUGUUGGCCUUAUUGUCAACUGACAUAAGUGAUCACACACAAUACUUGAUGUUAAACAAUAAGGGAUAAAACAUUGUAUUUAAUUGAAGAUUCAUUUAUAAAUAGUGCUAACCAUUUUUUAA